rnacentral:rRNA from 1 species
ACUACGGAGAGUUUGAUCCUGGCUCAGGAUGAACGCUGGCGGUAUGCUUAACACAUGCAAGUCGUACGAAAGUUUACGGACUUUAGUGGCAGACGGGUGAGUAAAACGUGAGAAUCUACCCUUAGGAGGAGGAUAACCUUUGGAAACGAAUGCUAAAACUCCAUAUGCCGUGAGGUGAAAGAUGCAAAUGCCUAAGGACGAGCUCGCGCCUGAUUAGCUAGUUGGUGGGGUAAAGGCCUACCAAGGCGACGAUCAGUAGCUGGUUUGAGAGAACGAUCAGCCACACUGGGACUGAGACACGGCCCAGACUCCUGCGGGAGGCAGCAGUGGGGAAUUUUCCGCAAUGGGCGCAAGCCUGACGGAGCAAUACCGCGUGAGGGAUUAAGGCCUGUGGGUUGUAAACCUCUUUUUUCAAGGAAGAAUACAUGACGGUACUUGAGGAAUAAGCAUCGGCUAACUCCGUGCCAGCAGCCGCGGUAAUACGGGGGAUGCAAGCGUUAUCCGGAAUUAUUGGGCGUAAAGCGUCUGUAGGUUGCUUAAUAAGUCUGUUGUUAAAGACUGGGGCUUAACCCCAGGAAAGCAAUGGAAACUGUUGAGCUAGAGUGUGGUAGAGGUAGAGGGAAUUCCUAGUGUAGCGGUGAAAUGCGUAGAUAUUAGGAAGAACACCGGUGGCGAAAGCGCUCUACUGGGCCAUCACUGACACUCAGAGACGAAAGCUAGGGUAGCAAAUGGGAUUAGAUACCCCAGUAGUCCUAGCCGUAAACGAUGGAUACUAGGUGUUGCGUAUUAUAUAUGCAGUGUCGUAGCUAACGCGUUAAGUAUCCCGCCUGGGGAGUACACUCGCAAGGGUGAAACUCAAAGGAAUUGACGGGGGCCCGCACAAGCGGUGGAGCAUGUGGUUUAAUUUGAUGCAACGCGAAGAACCUUACCAAGGCUUGACAUGUCACGAAUUCGUCUGAGAGGAUGAAGUGCCUUCGGGAACGUGAACACAGGUGGUGCAUGGCUGUCGUCAGCUCGUGUCGUGAGAUGUUGGGUUAAGUCCCGCAACGAGCGCAACCCUUAUCUUUAGUUACCAUCAUUAAGUUGGGGACUCUAGAGAGACUGCCGGUGACAAACCGGAGGAAGGUGAGGACGACGUCAAGUCAGCAUGCCCCUUAUGCCUUGGGCUACACACGUGCUACAAUGAUUAAGACAAAGAGCAGCAAGCUUGCGAAAGUUAGCGAAUCUCAUAAACUUAGUCUCAGUUCGGAUUGUAGGCUGCAACUCGCCUACAUGAAGGUGGAAUCGCUAGUAAUCGCCGGUCAGCAAUACGGCGGUGAAUCCGUUCCCGGGCCUUGUACACACCGCCCGUCACACCAUGGGAGUUGGCUACGCCCGAAGUCGUUACCUUAUCAGGGGGACGCCUAAGGCAGAGCUGAUAACUGGGGUGAAGUCGUAACAAGGUAGCCGUACUGGAAGGUGCGGCUGGAUCACCUCCUUU